rnacentral:tRNA from 3 species
GGGUAGGUGGCCGAGUGGUUAAUGGCGCCAGACUGUAAAUCUGGUCUCUCCGGAGUACGAAGGUUCGAAUCCUUCCCUGCCCA